rnacentral:rRNA from 1 species
AGUGAACGCUGGCGGUAGGCCUAACACAUGCAAGUCGAACGGCAGCACAGUAACAUCUUGCUCUGACGGGUGGCGAGUCGCGGACGUGUGGGGUAUACAUCGUAAUCUACUUUUUCGGGGGGGUUAACGUAGGGAAACUUACGCUAAUACCGCAUACGACCUUCGGUGGAAACCAUUGAAUCUUCGGACCUUCCGCGAUAGAAUGUGCCGGUGUUUUAUUAGCUAGGUUGCGGGGGAUAGGCCCACCAAGGCGACGAUACAUAUACGACCUGUGAGGGUGAGAGGCCACACUGGGACUGAGACACGGCCCAGACUCCUACGGGAGGCAGCAGUAGGGAAUCGUCGGCAAUGGACGGAAGUCUGACCGAGAAACGCCGCGUGAGUGAAGAAGGUAUUCGGAUCGUAAAGCUCUGUUGUAAGAGAAGAACGAGUGUGAGAGUGGAAAGUUCACACUGUGACGGGAUCUUACCAGAAAGGGACGGCUAACUACGUG